CGGCGGGUAGAAUGCAGCAAGGAAAUUCUGAUUCGUCCACUCCACCCAAGAAAUCGAAGAAACCCAAAUAUUCUAGAUUUACACAGCAAGAGCUUCCUGCUUGCAAACCAAUUCUAACACCAGGAUGGGUUAUAACAUCCUUCGUUGCUGUUGGUAUUAUCUUUAUCCCCAUAGGCAUUGCUUCCUUAUUUGCGUCAGAACAAGUUGUUGAAAUUGUGGAUCAAUACGACCAUGAUUGCCUUCCUCCAGAGUUUCAAGGCAAUCCUCUUACGUUUAUUAAAGACAGCAAAACUAAUAAAACAUGUAGCAGGGAGUUGACUGUUCCUAAACCAAUGAAAGGUCCAGUUUUUAUCUAUUAUCAGCUUGAUAACUUCUAUCAAAAUCACCGACGUUAUGUAAAAAGCAGAAGUGAUAAACAAUUGCGAAGCAAGGCGGCAGAGGCAGAUACAAAAACAUGUGCACCAGAAGCAACCAUUGGGCAAGGGGCUCCAAUUGUCCCCUGUGGCCUCAUUGCCUGGAGUUUGUUCAAUGAUACAUAUGGUUUUUCUAUGAAGAACAAGGCACUACAUGUCAGCAAGAAGGACAUAGCCUGGAAAAGUGACCAAGAAAAAAAAUUUGGAUCUGAUGUCUAUCCUAAAAACUUCCAGAGUGGGAGUUUGAUUGGUGGUGCAAAACUAAAUGCGAGUAUACCUCUGAGCCAGCAAGAGGAUCUUAUUGUCUGGAUGCGAACAGCUGCACUGCCCACCUUCAGGAAACUAUAUGGGAAGAUAGAAGCAGACUUUGAAGCUAAUGAUAUAAUAACAGUGGUGAUAGAAAACAACUAUAAUACCUAUAGCUUCGGUGGUAAAAAGAAGCUGGUCCUUUCAACCACUAGUUGGAUCGGUGGGAAGAACGAUUUUCUAGGCAUAGCUUAUCUUACUGUUGGAGGGCUCUGCCUUUUUUUAGCAAUAACCUUCAUACUCCUAUAUGUCAUCAAGCCAAGGCCUCUUGGUGAUCCAUCCUAUCUGUCCUGGAAUAGAAAUGCAGCAGGGCAGGCAAACUAACCAUCUCUUCUGCACCAAAUUCUCUUCUACAUGGGCAUGCUUUGCUACUGUUCUUAGUCAAUGCUUUAACUCAUAGAAUGAGGGAGGAGAUCUAAAUGAAUUGUAAGCUACUGGUAAAAGCCUACUUUAUUUUUCUGGUAGCUUGGACUUUGGUUUAUAUAUGUAUAUUUUUGGACCAUGUCUUGUUUACAAAUCUCCCAUAUGAAAUGAUUCUAUGUAAGCUUCAAUGUGAAGAUGGGAACUAUAGUUUAUAUCCCUUAUUUUGUUCAAAAAGGCUGGG
rnacentral:misc_RNA from 1 species